rnacentral:rRNA from 1 species
GACGUAGGUGGCGAACGUUAUCCGGAAUUAUUGGGCGUAAAGGGUGCGUAGGCGGGUUUUUAAGUCAGGGGUGAAAUCCUGGAGCUCAACUCCAGAACUGCCUUUGAUACUGAAGAUCUUGAGUCCGGGAGAGGUGAGUGGAACUGCGAGUGUAGAGGUGAAAUUCGUAGAUAUUCGCAAGAACACCAGUGGCGAAGGCGGCGAUCUGGGUCGAUACUGACGCUGAGGUGCGAAAGCGUGGGGAGCAAACAGG